UAUGCUUUAGCCCUAAACAUUGAUAGUUUUUUACACCUGCUAUCCGCCUGGGAACUACGAGCAACAGCUUAAAACCCAAAGGACUUGGCGGUGCUUUAGACCCACCUAGAGGAGCCUGUUCUGAAACCGAUAACCCCCGUUCAACCUCACCUUUUCUUGUUCUCCCCGCCUAUAUACCGCCGUCGUCAGCUUACCCUAUGAAGGCCCCUUAGUAAGCACAAUUGGUAAAACCCAAAACGUCAGGUCGAGGUGUAGCGUAUGGAAAGGGAAGAAAUGGGCUACAUUCCUUAAUCACAAGGAACUACGAAAAAUAUUACUGAAACGUGUAUCUAGAAGGAGGAUUUAGCAGUAAGCAGAAAAUAGAGUGUUCCGCUGAAACUGGCCCUGAAGCGCGCACACACCGCCCGUCACUCUCCCCAAACGCACAUCAUGCAAUUUAACUUAAAACCUUUCAAUAGCAAAGGGGAGGCAAGUCGUAACAUGGUAAGUGUAC
rnacentral:rRNA from 1 species